AAGCCCCAGUAAACGGCGGCCGUAACUAUAACGGUCCUAAGGUAGCGAAAUUCCUUGUCGGGUAAGUUCCGACCUGCACGAAUGGCGUAAUGAUGGCCAGGCUGUCUCCACCCGAGACUCAGUGAAAUUGAACUCGCUGUGAAGAUGCAGUGUACCCGCGGCAAGACGGAAAGACCCCGUGAACCUUUACUAUAGCUUGACACUGAACAUUGAGCCUUGAUGUGUAGGAUAGGUGGGAGGCUUUGAAGUGUGGACGCCAGUCUGCAUGGAGCCGACCUUGAAAUACCACCCUUUAAUGUUUGAUGUUCUAACGUGGACCCGUAAUCCGGGUUGCGGACAGUGUCUGGUGGGUAGUUUGACUGGGGCGGUCUCCUCCUAAAGAGUAACGGAGGAGCACGAAGGUUGGCUAAUCCUGGUCGGACAUCAGGAGGUUAGUGCAAUGGCAUAAGCCAGCUUGACUGCGAGCGUGACGGCGCGAGCAGGUGCGAAAGCAGGUCAUAGUGAUCCGGUGGUUCUGAAUGGAAGGGCCAUCGCUCAACGGAUAAAAGGUACUCCGGGGAUAACAGGCUGAUACCGCCCAAGAGUUCAUAUCGACGGCGGUGUUUGGCACCUCGAUGUCGGCUCAUCACAUCCUGGGGCUGAAGUAGGUCCCAAGGGUAUGGCUGUUCGCCAUUUAAAGUGGUACGCGAGCUGGGUUUAGAACGUCGUGAGACAGUUCGGUCCCUAUCUGCCGUGGGCGCUGGAGAACUGAGGGGGGCUGCUCCUAGUACGAGAGGACCGGAGUGGACGCAUCACUGGUGUUCGGGUUGUCAUGCCAAUGGCACUGCCCGGUAGCUAAAUGCGGAAGAGAUAAGUGCUGAAAGCAUCUAAGCACGAAACUUGCCCCGAGAUGAGUUCUCCCUGACUCCUUGAGAGUCCUGAAGGAACGUUGAAGACGACGACGUUGAUAGGCCGGGUGUGUAAGCGCAGCGAUGCGUUGAGCUAACCGGUACUAAUGAACCGUGAGGCUUAACCUU
rnacentral:rRNA from 1 species